UACGAAGGGGGCGAGCGUUGUUCGGAAUUACUGGGCGUAAAGCGCGCGUAGGCGGCUUUGCAAGUCGGGUGUGAAAUCCCCAGGCUUAACCUGGGAACUGCAUUCGAGACUGCAUUGCUAGAGUAUGGGAGAGGGAAGUGGAAUUUCCGGUGUAGCGGUGAAAUGCGUAGAUAUCGGAAGGAACAUCAGUGGCGAAAGCGACUUCCUGGACCAAUACUGACGCUCAUGUGCGAAAGCGUGGGGAGCAAACAGGGAU
rnacentral:rRNA from 1 species